AACGUCAACCGUCGCCCGCCCUGUGCACAUUGGAUCGCCGUCCGGUCAAAAAGUCUCUCGCCUCUUCCAAAUUAUUUCCGAACCGCCGUUUAGAAACUUUUCCCCUCCGACGAAAUUCAACCGAUUUCCGUGGAAAUCUCUUUCGGGAAAUUCGCCCCGGCCCGCUUAAAACCCUGGGCGAAACCUAACGACAGAAGUUUACGUUGGCAACGAAGGUUUAUUUAUACAGUAUGAGGGCGAACUGGACUGCGUUGGUGUAAAUAAUCUCGUAUAUCGAAAAGAAAGUCAACUCGUUUCAAUCAAACACUCGCCUGUCACACUUUUCUCGACCGAUUACAAGGGAAAACGCCAGUUUCUAGAGAGUUUCUCGUACCUUUUAGAAAUGUAGCCUUCGCCACGAACGUCUCGUUUUAAUCGGCAAAUACGUUUCAUUUCGAGCGAAUCUACAUUAAACAGUUAUGCUCACGAUGGAUACGAAUAACGGCGUUUUAGAGUCAGCCAACGAGUUCAUUAAAGAUCAGUUGUAUUUUGUUACGCUGAGAACAUCGGUUACUCCUAAAUCAACAAUCAACACACACUAUUUCAGUAUCGACGAGGAAUUUAUCUAUGAAAACUUUUAUUCCGAUUUUGGCCCUCUUAACUUGGCUAUGUUAUAUCGCUACUGUUUAAAAUUAAACAGAAAGAGAAGGGUUGCUUCUCAGACACAGAAGAAAAUUGUACAUUACACAACUGUAGAUCCACAAAAAAGAGUGAAUUCAGCAUAUUUAAUAGCUUCAUAUGCAAUACUUUAUUUAAAACUAACACCAGAAGAGGCUUACAGUAUAUUAGUUGAUGGAGUGGAGCAACCAUUUAUUCCAUUUAGAGAUGCAUCAUGCGGCGUUUCCGUAUUCCCGAUAACACUUCUAGAUUGUUUGCAAGCUGUUUACAAAUCGCAUCACUUGGGUUUUUUCAAUUUUGAGGACUUUGAUGUUGAAGAAUAUGAACGAUACGAGAAAGUCGAGAAUGGAGAUCUGAAUUGGAUAGUGCCUCAGAAAUUUAUCGCGUUUUGUGGACCUCACGCAUUUAAUAAAAUAGAGAACGGUUAUCCUCUGCACUCUCCAGAAUCAUACUUUAACUACUUCAGAAAAAACAAUAUCACAACAGUGGUCCGUCUAAACAACAAAAAAUAUAAUUCAGCCCGCUUCACAAAUUCCGGUUUUGCUCACAUGGAUUUAUUUUUUGUGGACGGCAGUACACCAAGCGAUCACAUCAUGAAACAGUUUUUAUCAAUCUCCGAAUCAGCAGCAGGAGCAGUUGCUGUUCACUGCAAAGCUGGUUUGGGGAGGACUGGUUCAUUAAUUGGCUGUUACAUCAUGAAACAUUAUAACUUUAAUGUUGCUGAGGCAAUUGCAUGGAUUAGGAUAUGCAGACCUGGGUCAAUUAUUGGGCACCAACAACAAUGGUUGAAUGAAAAAGAACAACAAAUGUGGCAGUUGGGAAAUAAAUACAGAGAAUCAUUAUUUGGUUCUCCAACAAAAUUUCCAGUACACAGCUAUGGAAUUUAUAGUAAAAAAUUGAAAAAACUUUUGGCACAUUAUGGGCCUAAAUCGAUGAGAAAUCAGCUACUUCAGUAUCCCGAUUCAAUUUCAAAGAUCCUGUCAAAAGUUGAUGCUACAAAAAUCAGGGAUAAAACUAACUUUGAAAAUAAAGUGAAAAAAGAACCAGCUAGAAAGAUUGAGGCAGAAGACAGUACCACUACCCUGAAUUGUCUACAAAGCCCUCUUACCCAAGGAGAUCAUCUAAAUCAAAUCAAAGUUAUGAGGAAGAAAAUUCGACCGGUAAAUGCUGUCGUUAGGACUUCUUGCCUGAAAGAUAACUCAUCAGAUACCAUCCCAGAAACACCUACCAAGGUUAGGAAAACAUCAAUAAAUAUGGUUCCGAAAAGGCCAACUAGAUCAGGAAUCUCUAGAAGAACUGUGUGGCUUGGAAAUUCAGUUUAUGGCACUAGAACAUUGGUACGCCCUAACAUAGCUAAAGCAAACAUAAGUUGCUUAAGGCCCAUAACUCGUUCUCUUACUAAAUCAGCUGUUAGUACUGAUUGUUCUCAGACUUCUUCACUUCGUAACUCCUCUAACACACGCCCUGUUACUUCACGUCUGAAUAAGCAGAAUCGAGUCAACUAAGGCGAUUGACCGUUUUUCCAAUAAGGAUUCUUAUUAUAAAUACUUGGCUUGUUACCUUUAAAGAAAUUACCAUGACAUAAAGGGCAAAGAGUAGACCAAUAAAUUGGCUAAGGACAGAUCAUCAGGACUGAGGACACAUUGGCCUGGAAUUUUGCCAAAAGCGUACAUACAUCAGUCAAUAGUUAAGAAUGAGUCCUUGGUUCAAUUGGAUUGUAUUCCAGGACAGAAGCAAGUGGAAAAGACCAUUUCAGAAAGACAGAAGAACUACUAAAUUUAGCAUGUAACUACUAAGACCUAGCAUAGGACUACCGACCGACUGGACCUGCAUAUUCCAGACACAUGUAUAAUCUUGGAGCGGCAGAAACAAGCUUGUACAGAUAUCGACAAGAAGGCCUCUAUGCAAGUUGAGAUUCUUAUUCCUAGGAGAGGAAAUGCCUGAAGGAUAACUUGUGAAGGCUUAACGAAGUUUUCGGAUCUGAUAAAAAAACCCAAGCUUAACGAAGAUCACAAAGUAAUAAUAGAUUGGACGAUAGAUCAAUGUUGUCCCACCUUUUAAUCUUAUGUAUGACAGGAAUUAUUUUACUUUCAUUUUAGCAUAAGGAUUGGGCUAGGAAAAACACUACAAGCCCCGAACAGAAAUGAAGGGAACUUUUAUGAAAUGAAAUUGGAAACACAUGUGUGAAGGGCUCAUGAUCUGCAUUCAGUAGUCGGCUUGUUAAUACCACUGGAGUUUGGAAAACCACAGAAAACCAAAUAAAAUAAUCUUGAAACAGUCAUAGCGGUUUAAAGGUAUUAAAAUAAAACAACAAUAAAUUUGUCAAUUAUUAGGUAAGCUCAUAAAACAAGUCGAUAUAUAAAGAUUUCACCUUUACACUUAGGAUGAGUACCACCACAUCACUUUAGCAGAAGUAAUUAUAAAAGAGCAGGUAAAUUUGCUGCAAUUGCGUAGAACUUUUUAAAUUGUCAUAUUAUAAUUGAGCAUUAAAUUCAGUCUGAUUUCAUAAAAUGAUAAACAUAACUAAAGGAACAUUAAAACAAACAUUUUACAUAUGAAAAGUUUUGAUUUUAUUUUUUAUAAUAAAUUGCAAUAAAUACAUACAAUUUGAAUUUGUAUAAUGGCUGAUUCCAACCUGUUCUCCAUUGAAGUUUUGUAUUAGGAGAUUCUUUUUUUUCUUUCUUUCCUUUCUUUUAUUUUUUUAUAAAUACUACAAAAUUUUGUUUUUAAAAAUCACUGGAAUAAGCCACUAAAGGCUGCAUACAUUUUGAGUAUACAUACAUGCUCAAAAGUGUAAAACAAUUUAUAUUUAGUAAUAAAAUAAAAAAAAAUUUCUUUUCAUUACAGAACAUUGCUUAUUAUGUUUAUUGAUACAAAUCUCAUUAUCACAAUUUUUACUUUAUUUAGU